CCCCUACGACCGGGCUAGGGUUUCGCUCCAGGGCGACGCCAUUGUGCGCUGCUCCAGAGCUCGCUCCCCACACGCAUGUCCGCCGCCACCUCGCGGAUCGACCUCUCCGGCGAUCCUCCUCCUCCCUGCUCGCCCUCCUCGUUGCUCACCGCGGCCUCGCCGGCGCCGCAGGAACGAAUCCCCCUUCGCCUGCUCCCCCCGCUCGCUGCGGCCUCGCAGGCGCCGCAGGUACGAACCCCCUUCGCCCGCUCCCAGAUCCGCGAGUCUCACUGGCAUGGCCUUGGCCACGCUCGUGCUCGCGCCGGGGCGAUGCCAGGGCCUCGGCUGGCCGCCUUGCUGCGGCAGCUGUGCCCCUACCUGCCGUGGGCGCCACAGCUCCUACCCGCUGGUCUCCCCUCCCCGCCAGGCGCUUCCAUCCCCUCCCGGCCGGGCACUCCCCUCCCCACCUGCCCCGGUGUCUGCUUCCGCCUGCCACCGGCCAGGCCAAAGAUUCUCGAACAAGAAGGAGGACAGAAAAUGGCAUAUCAAAGCAACAAGUGAGCAAGCACAAUUGGUGCCAAAGAAGUUCCUAGUGGCAAACAGCAUGAAGGACCCUUUGAGGUAGAAAUUGUGCUAUACCAAUGCAUCGAUUGGACUUCAGUUUUCGAUUGUAGUAUGGUGUACAUAUGUAAUGAGUUUUAGCAAAUUUUCUCUUAAGUGCUUUUUGUUUGCUAGUACAACAGAGAAAACCUUACGAAUGAUUGGAGUAACUAUGUGGCUAUUUGACUUCAAUUUUUUAUGUGGGACUGAAGUACUGUAAGCACAGCUAUAUUUUGAUGAAGUGAUAGGAGUUAGCAGAGGUUUUCUUUGUAUAAGUAAAAGGCACAACUGUACCAGCAGUAUGUGUUUCGGUGCUUGUAAUAUUAUUCAUAACAUGCUUAUGAUGGGUAGAUCCCUGGUUAUACACAGCACAUGUCAAUGCUCACUGUAUUUUAUGGAUACAUGCUAAUAUAAUCUACUGAUAUGUGAUGAAAAAACACUUGUCAGAUAAGUCAGUAUAUGCAAGUUGCCUGUAUCAGUCCAAGCAGCAGCCAAGUCGACAGUUGUUUCUAUCACCAUCUUGUACUUUAAAAAGUUAGAAGUAUCUAUCCAGUUUGUGUGUCAAAUCGGGUUCACAAAUUUUCUGUGGACAUGUUUCUGAGAAGAUAAGAAAUUUACUUGUGACAUCUGUAUAAGCUUCAUGAUGCAGACAAACAUAAAUGCAUUUUUCUAUGCUAGUUACGACAUACAGAAAAUAAAGUUUGUUUCCCUUUCUUGAACCAUGCUAUUGCUGAUGGAGUCAAUCUUUUGAAACUAACUGUUUUAUACAUGGCUUUCCAGCUAACCUCUUGAAAUUCUUGCAAACUUCAGCAAGGGUAAGCACUUCUAAACUUUUUGCAUCUCACUUGAUCUGAUAGAAUCUGAAGGUAGGUGAAUGACUAGUUCUCCCAGCCAUGCAACAAUGAGCUAGGGAGCGUUAAAAUUUAGCACCAAGCUAUUUCUCAGUUCAGUUCUGUUCAUUUCCUGGUUUAUUUUGAUGGGCAAUCCAUGUAAGACAUGGCAAUCAAAGUAGUGCAAUGUUUCUUAACGAAACAUGAAAUCAGACCUUUUCUUUCUUGAGCAGUUUGUGGCAAUUACAGGCACCAAUAUGCCGAAGAAUGACAUGAGAAAUGCAAUGGGCAUCAGAAAGAUGAAGACCUAAGGUUCAGAUCAAGGGACAAGCAGGGAGGAAGCACAACUACAGCUGGACAUCAAUGCCAAGUUUUGAGAAGGAAAGAUCUUAGAAGUGCCUACCGACCCCAUCAGCAAAAGUGUAUUGUUCAGCAUUCGAGAAGAGCUUGCCGCCAUCUUAGUGUCCCAAGUAUAUGACAGGACGGAAAAGUUUCAAUUAAUGUGCUAAUCCAGUUUUCUCAUACAAACGAGUUGCACUGAGUAUUGAACCUGCAACUACAUAUAUACGUGCAUGUGAACAUGUAACUUUAUCUGCUUGUGAACCUAUAUUGUUGUGAACUGUGGUUAUCCAAUUGUAUAUGUAGCAGCUGACCAUAUUUUUUUUAUUUUAUAAAUUCACA